AUUGAACGCUGGCGGCAGGCCUAACACAUGCAAGUCGAACGAAGUCUUCGGACUUAGUGGCGGACGGGUGAGUAACACGUGGGAACGUACCUUUUGGUUCGGAACAACUCAGGGAAACUUGAGCUAAUACCGGAUGAGCCCUUAGGGGGAAAGAUUUAUCGCCGAAAGAGCGGCCCGCGUUAGAUUAGCUAGUUGGUGAGGUAAAGGCUCACCAAGGCUACGAUCUAUAGCUGGUCUGAGAGGAUGAUCAGCCACACUGGGACUGAGACACGGCCCAGACUCCUACGGGAGGCAGCAGUGUGGAAUCUUGCGCAAUGGGCGAAAGCCUGAUGCAGCCAUGCCGCGUGAAUGAUGAAGGUCUUAGGAUUGUAAAAUUCUUUUACCAGGGACGAUAAUGACGGUACCUGGAGAAAAAGCCCCGGCUAACUUCGUGCCAGCAGCCGCCGCCGUAA
rnacentral:rRNA from 1 species